GUUAAAAAGCUCGUAGUUGGAUUUCUGGAUUGAACGGCUGGCCUUGCGCGCAAGCGUUCGUGUCGGCUUCUUCGGUCCAUCCUCAGGGGAACGUGCGCUGGCAUUAACGUGUCGGUGUUCGGACGCCUGUCGUUUACUGUGAACAAAUUAGAGUGUUCAAAGCAAGGUGUACUUGAAUACAUUAGCAUGGAAUAAUAAGAUAGGACUUUGGUGGUUCUUUUUUGAUAUUUUGUUGGUUUGCACGCCAAAGUAAUGAUUAAUAGGAGCAGUUGGGGGUAUUCGUAUUCAAUUGUCAGAGGUGAAAUUCUUGGAUUUAUAGAAGACGAACUACUGCGAAAGCAUUUACCAAGGAUGUUUUCAUUAAAUCAAGAACGAAAGUUAGGGGAUCGAAGAAGAUUAGAUACCUUCGUAGUCCUAAACCAUAAACUAUGCCGACUCGGGAUUGGCGGUCGAUAUUUAACGUCUCCGUCAGCACCGUAUGAGAAAUCAAAGUCUUUGGGUUCCCGGGGGGAGUAUGGUCGCAAGGCUGA
rnacentral:rRNA from 1 species